AUUAAACUGAAGAGUUUGAUCCUGGCUCAGAUUGAACGCUGGUGGCAUGCUUAACACAUGCAAGUCGAACGGUAACAGGUCUUAGGAUGCUGACGAGUGGCGGACGGGUGAGUAACGCGUAGGAAUCUGCCCAUUUGAGGGGGAUACCAGUUGGAAACGACUGUUAAUACCGCAUAAUAUCUGUGGAUUAAAGGUGGCUUUCGGGCUGUCGCAGAUGGAUGAGCCUGCGUUGGAUUAGCUAGUUGGUGGGGUAAGGGCCCACCAAGGCUACGAUCCAUAGCUGAUUUGAGAGGAUGAUCAGCCACAUUGGGACUGAGACACGGCCCAAACUCCUACGGGAGGCAGCAGUGGGGAAUAUUGGACAAUGGGGGCAACCCUGAUCCAGCAAUGCCAUGUGUGUGAAGAAGGCCCUAGGGUUGUAAAGCACUUUAGUUGGGGA
rnacentral:rRNA from 3 species